rnacentral:rRNA from 1 species
GACGAACGCUGGCGGCGUGCUUAACACAUGCAAGUCGAACGGAAAGGCCCAGCUUGCUGGGUGCUCGAGUGGCGAACGGGUGAGUAACACGUGGGUGAUCUGCCCCUAACUUCGGGAUAAGCUUGGGAAACUGGGUCUAAUACCGGAUAGGACAAUCGUUUAGUGUCGGUUGUGGAAAGUUUUUUCGGUUAGGGAUGAGCCCGCGGCCUAUCAGCUUGUUGGUGGGGUAAUGGCCUACCAAGGCGUCGACGGGUAGCCGGCCUGAGAGGGUGGACGGCCACAUUGGGACUGAGAUACGGCCCAGACUCCUACGGGAGGCAGCAGUGGGGAAUAUUGCACAAUGGGCGCAAGCCUGAUGCAGCGACGCCGCGUGGGGGAUGACGGCCUUCGGGUUGUAAACCGCUUUCGACAGGGACGAAGCUUUGGUGACGGUACCUGUAUAAGAAGCACCGGCUAACUACGUG